GACGGGGGAUGCAAUCGUUAUCCGGAAUCACUGGGCGUAAAGCGUCUGUAGGUGGUGAUGCAAGUCACUGGUGCAAAACUCUGGCUCAACCGGAGGAAAGCCAGUGAAACUGCAUGACUAGAGUGUGGGAGAGGUAGAAGGAAUUCCCUGAGUAGCGGUGAAAUGCGUAGAUACAGGGAAGAACACCGGAGGCGAAAGCGUUCUACUGGAACACAACUGACACUGAGAGACGAAAGCUAGGGGAGAAAACAGG
rnacentral:rRNA from 1 species